CCUUCUCAAAUACUUGUAUUUGGUUGUGAGUGACACUCUCUUCUGAGUUAACUUGAAAUUGUUGGCCGCUGGGCCAUUGCAGCUGGUGUUUUGCGUCUUUUCGCAGGAGCACGGCAUGUCGUAUUAGGUUUUACCAACUCCGGCACGUUGUCUUCUGGCUAACGGGAAGUGCUUUUAGCAUUGCUACAAGGACCCUGGCAAACAGUACUCUUUAA
rnacentral:misc_RNA from 1 species